AAACAACCAUGUCAAGCGACAUCCUGUGGUCAUAGAAAAAAUAUUGGUCUGUUUGAGAAGGGGCAAAUCAUUGGAAGGAACCUCUAUGGAGAGUUCAGGAACUACUAAAACUGGGUAGAGAAAGCAAGAGCAUUUCCACUCUCAACUCUGCAUGAAAAAGGGAUGGAGACUGAGGAAGAAGGUCCUGCUUAUAAAGGGAUGCUCCCAUCGUGCUCAGUGCCGACCGUUCUGGCCUGUAGGGGCAGCUCUGAUCUGGGGUGGCUGCAGGUGGUCAGGUCAAGGUUCAGCAACUUGUGCCCAAUGAGGUCAGCGGCCUACUUGAAUAUGAAUGACCAGGUUAUUCCAUCAAUGGAUUUUUUUCUUCCCUGAUGUCUGAAGCAUAUUCCAAGAUGACAAUGUUGGGUUUCAUUAGGCUCAUGCUGUGAAAGUGUUUCAGGGAGCAUGAAGACCUCAUUUUUACACAUGGAUCGGCCUCCACAGAGUGAAGACCUUCACCCCAUCCAGACUCUGGGAUGUGCUGAAGGCUCUUUACAAGAUGAUGGUGAAAAAUGAAUGCAACACUGGACAGAAAUGAAUCUUGAGACGUGGGGCAGAAGCUUAUUAAAACAAUGCCACAGUGAAUGCGUCCAUAAUCAAAGCUGAAGGUCAGGCAGUGUAUAAUAGCCCAGUCAACUUCCCCAAAUAUAAGAUGUUCCUUUUCCUUUUUCACAUUUCCUACCUCCAAUAGAUGUGAAACUGGACUGAAUCAUUAACUAACUUUAGUUCUGUGAAACUCUAUGGAGAGAAUGCAUCUUGUGACAGCUGCUGCAGCUCCUAAAGGGAAGAAGAGGACAAAGAACUCUGGGGACAGGCGCAGCUGGAACCGGGUCCACCGAGAAAAGAAAAUGGGAGGAAUGACCUCACCUCUGGAGAGGACGAGGCAGGACGUGCAUCUACAGGAGCACUUUCAAAACUGAUUGGACUGGCAAGGACAUAAGUAUGGACCUCAUCUCACGUCCUGUAUAUUUGUCUCACCCUGGCCCGUUGGACCCCGGGGACAACACGUUGCAACACCAAGCCUGUUGUAAGAACAGGGGGAUUACUGCUGAGGGAGAGGCCGUGUCCACGGGAGAUGAGGCUGCAACAGCAACAUCUCUCAAAGUAUUUCGCAUUCUCCUGAUCGUAGGAUGGAUUGCUGCCUGCAUAGCCGUUGUCUAUGUUGUCUUAUUUAUGAUUCGGAACAAAGGUAUGCAGUAAAGAAAUGGAACUCCUGACUACAUGUGGAAAUGGAGUCUCCUGACUGGUGGAUUGGAUCUAUGACCAUUCUAAUGCAAUAAAGUUGAUCUCUAAAGACUAUUUGAUAUGAAUAAUUGUAUGCCUUGUUGUCAAUGAAUCAAAUAAACUCAUUUAUGCCUCC
rnacentral:lncRNA from 1 species